ACUGGAGAACAGCAGAGGGUGGUCAAGACAUCUGACUGGAGAACAGCCAGAGAGGGUGGUCAAGACAUCUGACUGGAGAACAGCCAGAGAGAGGGUGGUCAAGACAUCUGACUGGAGAACAGCAGAGGGUGGUCAAGACAUCUGACUGGAGAACAGCAGAGGGUGGUCAAGACAUCUGACUGGAGAACAACAGAGGGUGGUCAAGACAUCUGACUGGAGAACAGCAGAGGGUGGUCAAGACAUCUGACUGGAGAACAGCAGAGUGUGGUCAAGACAUCUGACUGGAGAACAGCAGAGGGUGGUCAAGACAUCUGACUGGAGAACAGCAGAGGGUGGUCAAGACAUCUGACUGGAGAACAGCAGAGGGUGGUCAAGACAUCUGACUGGAGAACAGCAGAGGGUGGUCAAGACAUCUGACUGGAGAACAGCAGAGGGUGGUCAAGACAUCUGACUGGAGAACAGCAGAGGGUGGUCAAGACAUCUGACUGGAGAACAGCAGAGGGUGGUCAAGACAUCUGACUGGAGAACAGCAGAGGGUGGUCAAGACAUCUGACUGGAGAACAACAGAGGGUGGUCAAGACAUCUGACUGGAGAACAGCAGAGGGUGGUCAAGACAUCUGACUGGAGAACAGCAGAGUGUGGUCAAGACAUCUGCUGCUACUUCCUCUUAAUUGUGUCAGCUCUGCUGCACCUGAGCGCUAAAGAUGGCUCUGGCUUGCUGAUAACAUCUGAUCUGAUGAGACUCUUUAUGCAGUUUGACUCCUACUGAUUGUAUUCAAUAAAACUUCCAAUGCCAAAUUGAAAUAAUUUGAGAUUCUGUAAUUGAUAGACAAUAGUAGUUCCCAAUCACAUAAUUACUAUAAAACAAAUGUUUUCCUCAAUUCACUGUUUGGUGACUGCAUGGUGUUGUUUUGUCCUCAGUCCUCCUUUGAAUGCGGUGUGUACUGAUUCAGUUCUAAACGACCAUCAUCGAGUCCAUCCUCACCUCCUCCAUCACUGCAACGGAUUGUCCGGUCUGCUGAGAGGGUCAUUGGCUGCCACCUGCGUUCCAUCAAGGUCUUUCAUGACUCCAGGGCAAGGAAGUGUGCAGGAAAGGUUAUCGCCGACCCCUUCCACCCCAUCUUCCAAAGACUCCCCUCUGGCAAACGGUUCAGGUCAAUCACAAACAAAACCUCCCACCACCUGAACAGUUUCUUCCCCGUGCGAUGGCCCUCACCAACCGUCCACCUGGUCCAUGAUGAUCCUCUCAUCCAUGGACUUCAUACUCUGCAUUAUUCAUUCACGACUAUGCACCUUGCACUAUCAUCCCAGAACUGCGCAUUGCUCUUUGCACAUCUCUUACAUGCAGAAUUUAUAACGUUGAUUGUUUAGAACAUUGAUUAUUUAGCGUUCAUAGUGUACAUACUGCAUGUUUCAGAGUCAAAUUCCUGUACAUGCAAAUGUGUUUGGUAAAUAAAGCUGAUUCUGACAUGUUAA